AGCGAACGUUAGCGGGGGGCUUAACACAUGCAAGUCGCACGAGAACAGGGCUUCGGCCCCUAGUAAAGUGGCGGACGGGUGCGUAACACGUGGCUAACCUGCCCUUCAAUGGGGGAUAACUGUCCGAAAGGAUAGCUAAUACCACAUACGUCGGCGGGGUCUUCGGAUCCUGUCGGGAAAGCCGGCCUCUACAUGUAAGCUGGCGUUGAAGGAGGGGGCCGCGGCCCAUCAGCUAGUUGGUGAGGUAAUGGCUCACCAAGGCUAAGACGGGUAGCUGGUCUGAGAGGAUGAUCAGCCACACUGGGACUGAGACACGGCCCAGACUCCUACGGGAGGCAGCAGUGGGGAAUAUUGGGCAAUGGGCGCAAGCCUGACCCAGCCACGCCGCGUGAGUGAUGAAGGCCUUCGGGUCGUAAAGCUCUGUGGGGAGGGACGAAGCUACUCGGGUGAAUAGCCCAGAGGGUGACGGUACCUCCAGAAGAAGCCCCGGCUAACUACGUGCCAGCAGCCGCAGUAACAC
rnacentral:rRNA from 1 species